UACGUAGGGGGCAAGCGUUAUCCGGAUUUACUGGGUGUAAAGGGAGCGCAGACGGCAGUGCAAGUCUGGAGUGAAAGCCCGGGGCUCAACCCCGGGACUGCAUUUGGAACUGUGCUGCUAGAGUGUCGGAGAGGCAGGCGGAAUUCCUAGUGUAGCGGUGAAAUGCGUAGAUAUUAGGAGGAACACCAGUGGCGGAGGCGGCUUACUGGACGGUAACUGACGCUGAGGCUCGAAAGCGUGGGGAUCAAACAGG
rnacentral:rRNA from 1 species